ACUAGACUCAUGACCUGGAAUGGAAAAAAUCUCAAGGUAGAGCAGGAAUGCUGCCUUCUCCUCAGCAUUCUCACAUCUGCUCAAUGGCAAUGCAAACUAGGGGCCAAAGGACUUCUUUCUCAGGAAGAACUGGAAUACAGCGCCCUCUAGUGCAACAAAUCCGUGUGGGUUUUUUCCCCUGUGUCUUUAAGGUUUAGAUGUCAAGCGCUUGGCUUAAGUGUAAAAAUAUUACAGCCGCGCUGUCCUCUGCCGCUGCCUGAACAGACUCUGCGCCGCCCGCUGCGAUGCAGGCCGCCGCCCAGGUAUUCGUCGAGAGUCUGGACGUGGUCUACGGCCCUGAGGCUAUCGAGGCACAAAACGAGUACCGGAAGACGCGUGUCAGCUGAGAGGGCGGCGUCCUCAAGGUGCACCCGCGACCACGCGCUUCACCUUCCGGACGGCCUGGCAGGUGCCCCGGUUCGGGGUCAUGCUUGUCGGCUGGGGCAGGAACAACGGCUCCAAGAUCACCACCGCGGUGCUGGCCAACCCACUGCGUCUGUCUUGGCCCAGGAGCAGGGGCCGCAAGGAGGCCAACUACUACGGCUCGCUGACUCAGGCGGGCACCGUGAGCCUGGGCUCGGACGCCAAGGGCCAGGAGGUAUUCGUGCCCUUCAGUGCGCUGCUGCCCAUGGUGGCGCCCAACGACCUCGUGUUCGAUGGCUGGGACAUCUCGUCGCUGCACCUCGCCCAGGCGAUGCAGCGCGCGAAGGUGCUGGAUUGGGAGCUGCAGGAGCAACUGUGGCCGCACAUGGAAGCCCUGCGGCCUCGGCCUUCCUCUACAUCCCCGAGCUCAUCGCGGACAACCUCAUCCCGGGCUCGCGCGCAGCACCUGGAGCAGAUCCACAAGGACAUCCCAGACUUCUGGUCUAGCGCGGGGCUGGACAGAGUCAUCGUGCUGUGGACCGCCAUCACAGCGCUUCUGUGUGUGAGGUGGUUCCAGGCCUCAACUACACGGCCGAGAACCUGCUGCGCACCACUGAGCUUGGCCUGCAGGUGUCUCCCUCCAUGCUCUUCGCCGUCGCCAGCAUCCUGGAGGGCUGUGCCUUCCUCAAUGAGUCCCCGCAGAACACCCUGCUGCCCGGAGCUCUGGAGCUCGCGUGUCAGCGCCGGGUUUUCGUGGGCGGAGAUGACUUCAAGUCUGGACAGACCAAAGUCAAGAAAGUCAGGUCCGUGCUCGUGGAUUUCCUCAUCAGCUCUGGCCUCAAGACCAUGUCCAUCGUGAGUUACAACUACCUGGGCAACAACGACGGGCACAACCUGUCGGCGCCGUUGCAGCUCCGCUCUAAGGAGGUGUCCAAGAGCAACGUGGUGGACGACAUGGUGCAGAGCAACCCACUGCUCUAUACGCCCGGCGAGGAGCCCGACCGCUGCGUGGUCAUAAAGUAGGUGCCCUACAUGGGCCACAGCAAGUGUGCGCUGGUUGAGUAUAGCACGGAGCUAAUGCUGGGCGGGACCAACACAGUGGUGCUGCACAAUAGGUGCGAGGACUCGCUGCUGGUAGCACCCAUCAUGCUAGACCUGGCGCUGCUGACAGAGCUGUGCCAGCGCGUGAGCUUCUGCGCGGACGCUGACCCCGAGCCGCAGACCAUCCACCCCGUGCUGUCCCUGCUCAGCUUCCUCUUCAAGGUGCCGCUGGUACCGCCGGGCAGCCCGGUGAUCAAUGCGCUUUCCCGCCAGCGCAGCUGCAUAGAGAACAUCCUCAGGGCCUGCGUGGGGCUCCCGCCACAGAACCACAUGCUCCUGGAGCACAAGAUGGAGCUCCCAGGGCCUGGCCUCAAGCAAGUCAGACUUGUGGCUGUCGCCAGCCCUGUGUCCAACAAGAAAGGUCCGGUACCCGCUUCCACCAACGACUGCACCGGUGAUGCCAAUGGGCACCCACAAGUGGAGGAACCCCAGAUGCCCACCACCUGAGGUCCCUGUCACACAGCUUCCUUGCCCUUCCUCCCCGCUGCUCCCCAGGACGCCACCUUUCCAGGCCCCCCCAAAGACAAUAAAGCCGCUG